AUUCCAGCUCCAAUAGCGUAUAUUAAAGUUGUUGCAGUUAAAACGCUCGUAGUCGGAUUUCGGGGCGGGCCGACCGGUCUGCCGAUGGGUAUGCACUGGCCGGCGCGUCCUUCCACCCGGAGACCGCGCCUACUCUUAACUGAGCGGGCGCGGGAGACGGGUCUUUUACUUUGAAAAAAUCAGAGUGUUUCAAGCAGGCAGUCGCUCUUGCAUGGAUUAGCAUGGGAUAAUGAAAUAGGACUCUGGUGCUAUUUUGUUGGUUUCUAGUACUGAAGUAAUGAUUGAUAGGGACAGUUGGGGGCAUUCGUAUUCCAUUGUCAGAGGUGAAAUUCUUGGAUUUAUGGAAGACGAACUACUGCAAAAGCAUUUACCAAGGAUGUUUUCAUUA
rnacentral:rRNA from 1 species